rnacentral:rRNA from 1 species
UACGUAGGGUGCAAGCGUUGUCCGGAAUUAUUGGGCGUAAAGCGCUCGCAGGUGGUCCGUCGCGUCGUGCGUGAAAGACCCCGGCUCAACUGGGGAGGGUCGUGCGAUACGGGCGGACUGGAGGCCAGUAGGGGGAUGCGGAAUUCCCGGUGUAGCGGUGAAAUGCGCAGAUAUCGGGAAGAACACCCGUGGCGAAGGCGGCUCUCUGGAACGCAACUGACGCUGAGACGCGAAAGCGUGGGGAGCAAACAGG